CAGACUGUACUUUCAGGGAUCAUUUCUGUAGUUCAUUACUAGAGAAGUUUCUUUGAUUGUGUAGAGCACUGAAAACCACAAACAGGAGGCAUAGCAUUCUCUACUGGGCAUAAAGUCAGCUCUUGGUGUUGCUUCACUGCAAUUGCCAUUUACCACUGAUGAUGGUUCUCUUUCUCUGGAAAAGUAAGGGGGAGAGGAUGCAGUCUGAGUGGC
rnacentral:snoRNA from 1 species